GACGAACCGUGCGAACGUUGUUCGGAAUCACUGGGCUUAAAGGGCGCGUAGGCGGCGGAUCAAGUCCGGGGUGAAAGCCCCCAGCUCAACUGGGGAAGUGCCUCGGAUACUGGUUCGCUCGAGGGAGGUAGGGGUCGCGGGAACUUCCGGUGUAGCGGUGAAAUGCGUAGAUAUCGGAAGGAACAUCAGUGGCGAAGGCGACUUCCUGGACCAAUACUGACGCUCAGGUGCGAAAGCGUGGGGAGCAAACAGG
rnacentral:rRNA from 1 species